AUACGUAGGGGGCGAGCGUUGUCCGGAAUUAUUGGGCGUAAAGGGCGCGUAGGCGGUGACACAAGUCAGGUGAUAAAGGCACGGGCUCAACCGGUGUUAGGCACUUGAUACUGUGUUGCUAGAGUGCAGGAGAGGGGAGUGGAAUUCCAGGUGUAGCGGUGAAAUGCGUAGAUAUCUGGAAGAACACCAGUGGCGAAGGCGGCUCUCUGGACUGCAACUGACGCUGAGGCGCGAAAGCUGGGGGAGCAAACAGGAUUAGAUACCCUGGUAGUCCCAGCCGUAAACGAUGAACACUAGGUGUAGGGGGUAUCGACCCCCCCUGUGCCGGAGCUAACACAAUAAGUAUCCCACCUGGGGAGUACGGCCGCAAGGUUGAA
rnacentral:rRNA from 1 species